GGUCCUCAUAUGCAGUGUAGUCAGCAGAGACUUCAUCUUUCAGUUCAGCCUUCUUUAGCUCAUUUUUCAGCGCUAAGAUCCCAAUUGUAUAAUUCCUUCCCUUCACCAUCUCAUCUAGGUAAGUAUGGAUUGGCAGAUUUCAGAGAUUCACGAUCUAAGCCAUCACACAAGGUUAGACAAAAUGUGCGCUUUUCUAAACAAGGCUCUGAUGCUGCUUGCCACAAAAGUGAAAGUAAUGUGCCACAGUUCCGAUCUAAGUAUAUGACCGGUGAUGAAAUAGAGAGCAUCCUGAAAAUGCAGCAUUCUGCAGCACAUGGCAAUGAUCCAUAUGUAGAUGACUACUAUCAUCAGGCUUGUCUUUCAAGAAAAUCUGCAGGUGCAAAAUUGAGGCAUCAUUUUUGUCCUAAUCAACU
rnacentral:misc_RNA from 1 species